rnacentral:rRNA from 1 species
UAUAGUUUGAUCCUGGCUCAGGAUGAACGCUGGCGGCGUGCUUAACACAUGCAAGUCGAACGGUGAACACGGAGCUUGCUCUGUGGGAUCAGUGGCGAACGGGUGAGUAACACGUGAGCAACCUGCCCCUGACUCUGGGAUAAGCGCUGGAAACGGCGUCUAAUACUGGAUAUGUGACGUGACCGCAUGGUCUGCGUCUGGAAAGAAUUUCGGUUGGGGAUGGGCUCGCGGCCUAUCAGCUUGUUGGUGAGGUAAUGGCUCACCAAGGCGUCGACGGGUAGCCGGCCUGAGAGGGUGACCGGCCACACUGGGACUGAGACACGGCCCAGACUCCUACGGGAGGCAGCAGUGGGGAAUAUUGCACAAUGGGCGCAAGCCUGAUGCAGCAACGCCGCGUGAGGGAUGACGGCCUUCGGGUUGUAAACCUCUUUUAGCAGGGAAGAAGCGAAAGUGACGGUACCUGCAGAAAAAGCGCCGGCUAACUACGUGCCAGCAGCCGCGGUAAUACGUAGGGCGCAAGCGUUAUCCGGAAUUAUUGGGCGUAAAGAGCUCGUAGGCGGUUUGUCGCGUCUGCUGUGAAAUCCGGAGGCUCAACCUCCGGCCUGCAGUGGGUACGGGCAGACUAGAGUGCGGUAGGGGAGAUUGGAAUUCCUGGUGUAGCGGUGGAAUGCGCAGAUAUCAGGAGGAACACCGAUGGCGAAGGCAGAUCUCUGGGCCGUAACUGACGCUGAGGAGCGAAAGGGUGGGGAGCAAACAGGCUUAGAUACCCUGGUAGUCCACCCCGUAAACGUUGGGAACUAGUUGUGGGGUCCAUUCCACGGAUUCCGUGACGCAGCUAACGCAUUAAGUUCCCCGCCUGGGA